rnacentral:misc_RNA from 1 species
GAUGAAGAACGUAGUGAAAUGCGAUAAGUAAUGUGAAUUGCAGAAUUCAGUGAAUCAUCGAAUCUUUGAACGCACAUUGCGCCCGCCAGUAUUCUGGCGGGCAUGCCUGUUCGAGCGUCAUUUCAACCCUCAAGCCCAGCUUGGUGUUGGGGAUCGGCACAGGCGCCCUCGGGCGCCCGCCGUCCCCUAAAUCUAGUGGCGGUCCCGCUGCAGCCUCCUCUGCGUAGUAGUUUUCUCCUCGCAAGGGCAGCUCGGCGGCGACCUCGCCGUAAAACCCCCAACUUCUGAAAGGUUGACCUCGAAUCAGGUAGGAAUACCCGCUGAACUUAAGCAUAUCAAUAGCGGAGGA